CUACUAUUCGCGUGCAUUCGAUCAACGACACGAUAAAUAUUUCAAGAACGCACAUCAACGCGGCCGAAUGAGUGAGACAUUUAUCCGCGCGCGCGCGCGUUAGAAGAGGAGCGGACAUAUUGGACGUAACUGUGUUGUACAUUGUGCUGAUUCACGAUCGCGGUUCAAGGACACACGCUGACGAUGGGGAAACGGACGAUUAUGGACUUCUACGCGAAGGAGAAUAAGCAUGG